rnacentral:rRNA from 1 species
GAUGAACGCUGGCGGCGUGCCUAAUACAUGCAAGUCGAGCGAACAGAUGAGGAGCUUGCUCCUCUGACGUUAGCGGCGGACGGGUGAGUAACACGUGGAUAACCUACCUAUAAGACUAGGAUAACUUCGGGAAACCGGAGCUAAUACCGGAUAAUAUAUUGAACCGCAUGGUUCAAUAGUGAAAGACGGUUUUGCUGUCACUUAUAGAUGGAUCCGCGCCGCAUUAGCUAGUUGGUAAGGUAACGGCUUACCAAGGCAACGAUGCGUAGCCGACCUGAGAGGGGGGCGGCCCACACGGGACCUGAGCCCGGGUCAGGCCCCCUACGGAAGGCGGAAGGGGGCAUUCUUCCGCAAUGGGCGAAAGCCUGACGGAGCACCGCCGCGGGAGGAAUAAAGGUCUUCGGAUCGAAAAACUUUUUUAUUGGGGAAAAACAAAUGUGAAAGAAACUAUCCCCGUCUUGAGGGUCCCUAAUAAGAAGGCCCCGGCUACCUCCGUC